rnacentral:rRNA from 1 species
AUUGAACGCUGGCGGCAGGCCUAACACAUGCAAGUCGAGCGGAUGAAGGGAGCUUGCUCCUGGAUUCAGCGGCGGACGGGUGAGUAAUGCCUAGGAAUCUGCCUGGUAGUGGGGGAUAACGUCCGGAAACGGGCGCUAAUACCGCAUACGUCCUGAGGGAGAAAGUGGGGGAUCUUCGGACCUCACGCUAUCAGAUGAGCCUAGGUCGGAUUAGCUAGUUGGUGGGGUAAAGGCCUACCAAGGCGACGAUCCGUAACUGGUCUGAGAGGAUGAUCAGUCACAUGGGAACUGGAACAGGGACAAGGCUCCUGAGGGAGGCACCAGUGGGGAAUAUUGGACAAUGGGCGAAAGCCUUACCCAGCCAGGCCGCGUGUGUGAAGAAGGUGUUCGGAUUGUAAAGCACUUUAAGUGGGGAGGAAGGGCAGUAAGUUAAUACCUUGCUGUUUUGACGGUACCAACAGAAUAAGCACCGGCUAACUACGUG